rnacentral:rRNA from 1 species
AUGGAGGCAACUCUGACCCAGCCAUGCCGCGUGCAGGAUGACGGCCCUAUGGGUUGUAAACUGCUUUUCUGAGAGAAGAAUCCCCCCGAGUUUUCGGGGGUUGCCGGUAUCUCAGGAAUAAGCAUCGGCUAACUCCGUGCCCAGCAGCCGCGGUAAUACGGAGGAUGCAAGCGUUAUCCGGAUUCAUUGGGUUUAAAGGGUGCGUACGCGGGAAAGUAAGUCAGUGGUGAAAGCCUGCAGCUCAACUGUGGAACUGCCAUUGAUACUGCUUUUCUUGAGUUUGGUUGAGGUAGGCGGAAUGUGUAAUGUACCGGUGAAAUGCUUAGAUAUUACACAGAACACCGAUUGCGAAGGCAGCUUACUAAACCGAUACUGACGCUGAUGCACGAAAGCGUGGGGAGCGAACAGGAUUAGAUACCCUGGUAGUCCACGCUGUAAACUAUGAUCACUCGCUGUUGGCAAUACAUCGUCAGCGGCUGAGCGAAAGCAUUAAGUGAUCCACCUGGGGAGUACGGUUGCAAGAUUGAAACUCAAAGGAAUUGACGGGGGCCCGCACAAGCGGUGGAACAUGUGGUUUAAUUCGAUGAUACGCGAGGAACCUUACCUGGGCUUAAAUGUAGACUGCAUUUCCGGGAAACCGGAAUUUCCUUCGGGACCGUCUACAAGGUGCUGCAUGGUUGUCGUCAGCUCGUGCCGUGAGGUGUCGGGUUAAGUCCCAUAACGAGCGCAACCCCUAUCGUUAGUUGCCAGCGAGUAAUGUCGGGGACUCUAGCGAAACUGCCGGUGUAAACCGAGAGGAAGGUGGGGAUGACGUCAAAUCAGCACGGCCCUUAUGUCCAGGGCUACACACGUGUUACAAUGGUCAGUACAAAGGGCAGCUACCUGGUGACAGGAUGCUAAUCUCGAAAACUGGUCUCAGUUCGGAUUGGAGUCUGCAAUUCGACUCCAUGAAGCUGGAAUCGCUAGUAAUCGCGCAUCAGCAACGGCGCGGUGAAUACGUUCCCGGGCCUUGUACACACCGCCCGUCAAGCCAUGGAAGCUGGGGGUGCC